UGGGGAAUAUUGGACAAUGGGCGAAAGCCUGAUCCAGCCAUGCCGCGUGUGUGAAGAAGGUCUUCGGAUUGUAAAGCACUUUAAGUUGGGAGGAAGGGCAGUAAGCGAAUACCUUGCUGUUUUGACGUUACCGACAGAAUAAGCACCGGCUAACUCUGUGCCAGCAGCCGCGGUAAUACAGAGGGUGCAAGCGUUAAUCGGAAUUACUGGGCGUAAAGCGCGCGUAGGUGGUUCGUUAAGUUGAAUGUGAAAGCCCCGGGCUCAACCUGGGAAUUGCAUCAAAAACUGGCGAGCUAGAGUAGGGAAGAGGGUGGUGGAAUUUCCUGUGUAGCGGUAAAAUGCGUAGAUAUAGGAAGGAACACCAGUGGCGAAGGCGACCACCUGGGCUCAUACUGACACUGAGGUGCGAAAGCGUGGGGAGCAAACAGG
rnacentral:rRNA from 1 species